rnacentral:tRNA from 1 species
GAUCACCAAGUGGCUCAGUUGGUAAAGCGCUCGUCUAGAAUACAAGAGUCCUGGGUACAAAUCCCAGCCGAGCA